AACAUCAGUUAAAGGAUUUGCAGUAUUUCAGAUCUGGAGGAGAGUUUCUUCAUUCUUAUCACUAAAAUGAAAGGCAAAUUAGGGUCUACCGACAGUUUCACAAUUCUUAGGGUGGAGCUUUGUGAGAAUGGAUACAGCAGAGAGGAGUUCAGAAUAUUUCCACAGAAGCAGCUCUUGUGUUACUCUAUGUCAUUGUGCAGUUCUUCUUCAUAUACUAUGAUGUUCUUUUACAUCACAGUUUUGACACUUCUUACAGAAGGUGUUUUUGCAAAUCCAAUCACGUCAAUCUCUACUGAAAAUCUUGCUUUAGAAGGAGAAAAGGUUACUCUUUCCUGCAGCUACAGUGAAAGUAAUAUAAGGAGUCUUCAGUGGUACAGACAGUAUCCCAAAACUGCCCCAGAAUUUCUCCUACAAGUUUUGGAAAAUAUGGGUCCAGAGAAGAAGGACCGUCAUGUUGCUGAAGCUCAUAAGGACAAGAAACAACUGGACCUGGAAAUCUCCAAAACUGAAGUGACAGAUGCUGCAAUAUACUACUGUGCAGUGGUGCCCACAGUAACAGGAAACCCUUCUACACUGUACCAAAACGGGAUUCCUUUUCAAACACAAUAACACCAUUAUCCUCUGAAAAACAUAUUUUCAAUGGUGAAAAUGUGAUUCUCUCCUGUAACUACAGCGGUGAUGUAAACAAUCUGCAAUGGUAUCGUCAAUAUCAGGGAUCUCGACCACAGUUCCUC